rnacentral:lncRNA from 1 species
AUCAGGAAUUCAUUAGAGAUUUGCUGAUUUCUUUCCCUGGACCCUUAAUAGUUCAAGGCAGGCAGCUGAGAGGGGAUUUGGGGGGCAGGUCGAGGUGGGCCGGGCCUUUAGCCCUGUCUGUUGAGCAAGAAACUAUCACCCAACUCUCAGGUACCUGGCCUAUUUCCCUCUUGAUGCUCUCAGUUUAUGCUUCCCAGUAACCAUCUGGGGCAGAACAAAAGGACAGGGGUCCUUGGGGCAGAUAUUUUAUUUAUCUGCUUAUGUUCCUUCGUGCAGUCUGAAUAUGUUAAAUGGGGAACUUCUGGAGUUUUGGAAAUUUGACCAUUUUUUUCUCCUCUCCUUUUAAAAUAUGAAAUAGUUGGUCAUUUCUCUAUUUUGGUCUUGUCAUAGUUGGGAUUUUUCAGGCCACACACAGACAUGCUUUUUAGUUUUGGCAAGAAGUAAACAGCUGAGGCUCAUAAAUUACAUUCAUAAAUAUUUAGUGUACUUCGUUGUGUUAAGGAGUUUUAAAGGAAAGGAAAGAAAACCAAGACGGGGUAAAAACAAGUAUUUAUCCAGAGGAAAAUGAAAUCCCUUUAUUUUAUUGUUUAAAGACUUGAAAGUAGUCACCAAGAAACAGAAAUGAACUGUUGAAGUUUUCAAAGGAAUCAUAUUCUGCUGCCAACAUCACAGCAAGGAAAAAAAAACUCCAUUUCAGUAAAAUUUGGGAUUAAGUGUCCUACGAUGACAGGCUGAAGAAAUAGUUGCAUUUAAGAGUUGAGGAAUCAAUGGAGAAAAAGAAACUAUGGUGCUGGAACCAAUCAGUGAAGUAAGAGGGAGUUGAUCUGGGGUCAGACAGUGGGCGGGGUCAGGGACCCUGCUUCUUGUCUUCUAGUUCUGGGGUAGGGAACCCAUACUGCCCUCCCGAGUCUGGGAGAGAAAAUCAGGUGUACCCCACAUUAAGAAACUUGAAAGCAUAACUACUUGCAUGUAUCGGAAUUGGUGCUGGGUAGGAAUGAUGGGAAAGGAAUUUUUCACUUUAGAAGAGUAUUCACUUCCAGAUUUAAUCUAGUAAGCUGUCCUAGUAUGUUUAAAAUAGGGUUUAAUUUCUAAAACAUUGACUGUCGCAAAAUCUUUUAGGAAUCUCCCUGGUGUGCAAAGUAAGAUAUUUUGCUCUGGCUGACUCUCUCUCAAGUUUAUGAUGGUAUCAGCAUCAACAUUAUUUUAUCACCUCCCUGCUCAAAACCCUCCGGUGUCUCCCUGCUCUCUAGUGCAAGUGUUCUCAACCUCAGCUUUCUCAACAUGGGACCUGAUAUUGUAGAUAUUCUGGGCAUCAUGGGAUGUUUUACCAUAUCCCUGGCCUCUACCCACUAGCUGCCAUACUUACUUAUGACAAUAAAAAAUGUGCCCAGACUUUGCCAAAGGUUGUUUCCGAGGGGGUAACACUGCUCCCAGCUGAAAAGCAUGGGUCUAUCAAAUGAAGGAUGUAGGUCUUUGUUUCUCCACUGCCAAAGGUUUGGUCCCAACUCCUCUCGCCCUUGCCUUGAGGCACGUCUGUCUCCUACUCCCCAAGCUGCUACAUACCUCGUUCACUAUUACCCUUUGUCUGUGUGUUGUGAAAUGCCUUUCCUCUUGCUUGUUCCCCUCUAAAUCCUUCCCCAUCUUCAUCUAUAGCUCCAGUCCCACCUCCUUCAGAGUUUCCAACCUACAGUGUUGUCCUCUUCCUAACACAGGUGGGGUUUACUGUCCCCCCCCUUGCUCUUUUGGGGACAGCAGAAAAUCCCGAUGUGGUUAGGAUGACCUGAGACCAGCAGGAUCUUUCUUCUAGAGAGAGCCCUGGAGAAGAAUCGAGACCCUACAGUAGAAUUGGCGGCCCAGGGCAGCCCGGAGAGUUCUGAUUACUCUAGGGGACCAGAUGUUGCUGAGAGAGGACCAGACCCAACAAGGCCUUGUGGUAGGUUAGGCGUGGUGCCUGGGUGCCUGGAAGAUGGAAGAGGAGUAGAGGAAAGUUGUCACAGAAUCUUCAAGCAAGGGUGAGAACGCUUCAAAAUGUGUGGCUGGGAAAUAAGACCACAGGAACCAGUUGAAAUCAGACCAAAACCAGGUCUGCUGAAGGAUGGGAAGGUGGGCUUCACGUUGAUGCUUGUUGCUUCUCAGGGGCCCUGUCCUCCAGCAACUUCGGGCUGCUCAGUGGUGCCCAGAUAAACCCUACUCCAGGGUAUGGGCAGAAUGCCCUAGUCUUCCUCCUCACCUUCUCUAGGCUCCGCCCACUUCACAGUUAUUUUCCUGUUGGAAUCCAGCCCGUUCUUUAAGGCCCAUCUCAGAUGAUUCCUUCUCUAUCGAGUGACAGAGUUGGAAGUGUCCUCUUUCUCCUCCAACUAUGACGCCUAGGCUCUUGGGUAAAAUAGCUCCUGUUGUGGUUCAGCAAGUUAAGAUAAUUUGUUGUGCCCAACUGAUGUAUCGUGGUGGUUUGUUAGGCAGCUUUAUUGGGCAAUAGAUAAUUGAUAAAAGAGCUUUCAGGCCGAUAGGUAAAAAGGGUGAUAGAAUAGUGUCCAAGGGCUAUUGAGUUCCUGUCAUGGCGCAGUGGUUAACAAAUCCGACUAGGAACCAUGAGGUUGCGGGUUUGGUCCCUGCCCUUGCUCAGUGGGUUAACGAUCCGGCGUUGCCGUGAGCUGUGGUGUAGGUUGCAGACGCGGCUCGGAUCCCACGUUGCUGUGGCUCUGGCAUAGGCCGGUGGCUACAGCUCCGAUUGGACCCCUAGCCUGGGAACCUCCAUGUUCCGUGGGAGCAGC